rnacentral:lncRNA from 1 species
GAGACAUCAACUGAUUUGUGUUGCACCGAGGAAGAAUUGUGCACACUUUAAAAAUCCUACUAACACAAGAAACAAGAAGGUGUUAGAUAGUGUAAAGGAAAAAUAAAGGCAAACAAAUGAAAACCUACAGUUAAGAAUCAAUAAAAAUUGCUGAAAAUAGAAAACCCGAAAAACUGCGGAGUAACUUGACAACUUCGUUUGAGGUAUUCCCGAUCUCCAAAAAUCACGAAAUUAAAUUUGGAAUGUUCUUAAAUAUUGAAUUUUUUAUCUGGAAAUUUUGGGCACCAAACUCAACCCGCUGAAUAUUUUUUUAUAAUUUUUAUUGGAUUUCGUCUUUCUUCGAUUUUUUGACUUUUUUGACUGAUUUUUUUGCGGGAAUAAUUUUUU